rnacentral:rRNA from 1 species
GACAGAGGUGCCGAGCGUUAGGCGGAAUCACUGGGCUUAAAGCGUGUGUAGGCGGACCCGUCAGUGUCUUGUGAAAUCCCACCGCUCAACGGUGGAACGGCUGGGCAUACUGCGGGUCUUGAGGGACCCAGGGGCGAGCGGAACAAGCGGUGGAGCGGUGAAAUGCGUAGAUAUCGCUUGGAACGCCGACGGUGAAAACAGCUCGCUGGGGGUCACCUGACGCUGAGACACGAAAGCCAGGGGAGCGA